UACGGGGGGGGCGAGCGUUGUCCGAAGUUACUGGGCGUAAAGGGCGCGUAGGCGGGGGGCCAAGUCCGCUGUGAAAGCCUGGAGCUUAACUCCAGCGGGUCGGUGGAUACUGGCACUCUUGAAGGCGUUAGGGGAAGAUGGAAUUACCCGUGGAGCGGUGAAAUGCGUAGAGAUGGGUAGGAACACCGGUGGCGAAGGCGGUCUUCUGGGACGUCCUUGACGCUGAGGCGCGAAAGCUGGGGGAGCGAACGGG
rnacentral:rRNA from 1 species